ACCACCCCGCAGGAGGAACGCGGUUCCUCUCGAUCCCCUCCCGUCGCCGCCGCCGUCCUCUCGAUCCCCUCCCGUCGCCGCCACCGUCCUCUCGAUCCCCUCCAUUAAGCGGCGCCGCCGUUGGCUCCCGAUCUCCUCGAUUAAACGCCGCCGCCGUCGCCUCUCGAUGCCCUCGAGAUCGCUGCGCCGCCAUCGUCUCUCCAUCCCCUCGAGAUCCCAGAUCCCACACCGCCACUGCCGGCGCCUCCUCCGCUGGCGACGCGGCGAACGAGAUUAGACAGCCAAAAGUAUUCAUCACCUCCGUAUGAGAUCGCUCCGCCGACGCGCUCCCCUCCAUAUCGUCAAUCCCCGUAUGAGAUCGCAGGCAGCCCACCUCUCCCCUCCCGACGGCCCUCCUUCACCGCAGUGUCCUUUACUCGGCCCCGUCCGCCCAAGUCUCUUCCCCGUUGCGGCACCUAUCAGCCGCGACCGCGAUGCCCGUCGACCACAAGCAGCCGCCCAAUUUGUCUAUGGGUUCUCUAAGGUUGUGAGAGCAGCGAUGCUACCAGUCCGUGGCAAACGAGUGGCUCCUGGUGCUCGACAAGGUGCCUGCGCAGGGCAUCAGAGGAGGUGGCCCGGCCCCCAACCUGCUUUCCCCAAAUUUGCUCGGUUGGAAUGCAAAACUCUCAAGCCCCUGCAACUCCCAAGGUCUUAUGCUUGGUUUUUAAAAUUUUCCACGAGGAUGCAGCAAACUUGAUUUCUGAAGAGUUUUCGUUCUUAUCCUUGAUAUUUCAUUCUUGAUUUUGCUUCUACUACAUGAAAAUAUUCAGAAAUCAAAGAAAAUAAUGAUAGUAGAGCUUACAUUACCAUCUGUUGAUGUGUUGUGCAGUAGGCAUGCUCUCCAUCUCGUCAAGGAACAACUUGUACAUGACCAUGCUCAAGUUGCAAUGACUUGAUGCAGGAAAGAAACUUUCACUUAUUUUCUCUUCCAUUCACAUUUUGGUCAGGCAAGGGGCUGCGGCAGCUUGGCAUUGUCGGGCAUAAGUAGUGUGUGUACUAUACUCCAAAUUCCAACCUAUGGCCUACAAACAAUUCAAGUUCUUUUCCUUUGUCAAGUUUAAAUAUUUGAACUCUGUUUCCGGGUUGGAGUUUAUCUCUGGCCAGGUGAGGGCUGAGGCAGCUUGGCGUUGCCGGAGCACAGGACAGAGGCACUAGGCGCAGGCCUGGGGCAUACCUCUCUGGCCUCCUCGCCUGCCCCCUUGCCAAUGGGCCCUGUGUCCAGUAGACGGAAGAGGACGGAGUUGCCCAUGGUGACCUCGUCGCCUCCUAAAGUUGCAUUCACUAGAUUUCUUCCAAGUCCAUGACCUCUGUAUGUUGAUUGUUUUAGAUGGUUUUCCCCGGUGAGAACAUUUUGAAGGUUAUCUCUUUAGGUUCUUGUAUUUAGCUCACGGCUCCAACUUUUCUUGAAGGGAAACUCAAGACAUGUGUGUGUGAGGAAGGGAAGAGGAGAGAAACUUUGACAUUUUUCAUAACUUUCUUUUUCCGUGGCAACGCAUGACCGUGGCACCUUACAAGAUGAUAAAGAUCAACACUGAUGUUCUGAUGUUCUGAUAACUGCAAAAUAGGAAUGCAUGCAUCAAUGGGCAUGAAGGGCGUGGGUUGAAGACCAAAUAUUCUACAUUGUUCGGUUUAUUUAAAGUGCAGAGGCUUCGAAAUCAGCACGCAUGCCAGCUUUUCCUGUGAGCCCGAGUCCAUUAUCUUGCCCGGUGGCAAAGAAGUAUAUUUCAAGUUUCUUGGGUACGUCUGUUAGCUGCUAAGGUGGAUUUAAUCAGGCAGCUUAUUUAUCUCAAGAACUCUUCAAUCUCAGAUGGUCAUCUCCCUUUCCAGCCGACAUAGAAAGAAAAACUCAAUGGUGAUCCCAACAUCUAGAGCCACUUUUAAUCUAUGGGAGCUCAAUUCAUUUUUUUAACAAAAAUGUGAGUUUGGAUGCGGUCUUCAGAUGAAUCAAGCCUGAGAUCCACAGGUGUCGUGGGCUAAUUAGCUGUGAGUUCCAAAGGUGCAAAGUAUUUUGUACCCUCCAUUUGGAAGUACUUGUCGCAUAAAUGGACAAAAGAAUAUGUAUCUAGAACUAUAAUAUGUCUAGGUAUAUCUUUCUCCUACAAUAAUUCCGGACGGAGGGAGUAUGUUUCAUGAAAGA